CCUGAUCAGCAUGCCGCGUGAGUGAUGAGGCCUUCGGGUUGUAAGCUCUUUUAUCCGGGACGAUACGGGCGGGGUGAAUAUCCCGGGCCCCUGACAGUACCGGGCCAAUAACCACCGGCUAACUUCGGGCCCUCACCCUCGGUAAUAUUAAGGGUGCAAGCGUUACUCUAAGUUACUGGGCGUAAAGGGUGCGUAAGUGGUUGGUUAAAUCUGCUGUGAAAUCCCCGGGCUCAACCUGGGAAUGGCAGUGGAUACUGGUGAACUGGACUGUGGUAAAGGGUAAUGGAAUUCCCGGUGUAACAAUGAAAUGCGUAAAGAUCGGGAGGAACACCAGUGGCGAAGGCGGCUACCUGAACCAUCACUGACACUGAGGCACAAAAGCCUGGGGAGCAAACAGGAUUAAAUACCCUGGUAGUCCACGCCCUAAACUAUGCGAACUGGAUGUUGGGUGCAACUUGACACUCACUCUCGAAGCUAACGCGUUAAAUUCUCCGCCUGGAGAGUACUGUCGCAAGACUGAAACUCAAAGGAAUUGACGG
rnacentral:rRNA from 1 species